AUUGAACGCUGGCGGCAGGCCUAACACAUGCAAGUCGAACGAGUGGCGGACUGGUGAGUAAUGUCUGGUAAACUGCCUGAUGGCGGGGGCUAACUACUGGAAACGGUAGCUAAUACCGCAUACCAUCAGAUGUGCCCAGAUUGGAUUAGCUAGUUGGUGGGGUAACGGCUCACCAAGGCGACGAUACCUAGCUGGUCUGAGAGGAUGACCAGCCACACGGGAACUGAGACACGGUCCAGAUGCCACCGGGAGGCAGCAGUGGGGAAGAUUGCACAAUGGGCGCAAGCCGGAUGCAGCCAUGCCGCGUGUAUGAAGAAGGCCUUCGGGUUGUAAAGUACUUUCAGCGGGGAGGCGUUACCCGCAGAAGAAGCACCGGCUAACUCCGUGCCAGCAGUCGCGGUAAUAC
rnacentral:rRNA from 1 species